rnacentral:rRNA from 1 species
CUCCUACGGGAGGCAGCAGUGGGGAAUAUUGCACAAUGGGCGCAAGCCUGAUGCAGCAACGCCGUGUGAGUGAAGAAGGUUUUCGGAUCGUAAAACUCUGUCCUAAGGGAAGAAACAAAUGACGGUACCUUAGGAGGAAGCCCCGGCUAACUACGUGCCAGCAGCCGCGGUAAUACGUAGGGGGCAAGCGUUAUCCGGAAUCACUGGGGCGUAAAGGGUGCGUAGGCGGCUUAGCAAGCCAGGGGUGAAAGGCAUUGGCUCAACCAAUGUAAGCCUUUGGAACUGUUAAGCUUGAGUGCAGGAGAGGUAAGUGGAAUUCCUAGUGUAGAGGUGAAAUUCGUAGAUAUUAGGAGGAACACCAGUGGCGAAGGCGACUUACUGGACUGUAACUGACGCUGAUGCACGAAAGCGUGGGUAGCGAACAGGAUUAGAUACCCUGGUAGCACAGAG